CAAGUGUCAAGUCGGCACUGCGAAGGGUGCAUGCAUGCAUGCAUGGACGGGUCGGGCAGAGGCCUGGCCACCACCACCACCACUGGCAUGCAUACGAUACGACGCGUACCUUUCCGUGCCUCUCUGUGAAGCGACUCUGACGGCGAGAAGCGAUCGAACAAGCAAGCAGGCAAGCAGCAGGUCCAUGGCUACAUCCGCCUGCGUUCUUUCUGUUGGAACAAGGGGCGAUGUAGGAGAUCUGCCCUUCCCAUGCUUUUUCCUCCAGGAACGUCCGUAUCUUUUCUUCCACACGCAGCGAAGGACCGGCGCCGCCGUCGAACCGAAGAAACGCCGCCGUCCUCGAUUAGCCGCCGUCCUCGAGCAGCCUCACCGUUGCCAUGGACGGCGAUGCCUUCGACCUCAACUCGCAGGCGCCGGAGACUGAUGGUUUCCCGGGGCUUCAGCUGUACGGCAACAUCCUGUCCGACUCUGAUGGUCUGUUCGAUGGUCGUGCCAGCGGCUCUGUGCUUCCUCCGUAUCGCCCACCGUGUGCCGGAGGCGGUGACGCGCGGGCAGCUACAGCGGCACCCUACGCUCGGCAGCUACUCUUCGACGGCUCCACCUCGCGCGGCAGGCAACACAGUUCGUCAGCGGGCGAACUCGGCCGCAGCAGCACCCGUCCGUCGUCAACAGCUCAACAACACAGCGCGUCGUCGCACCAACAGCCAAGGCGCACCGCGUCCGCCACCACCGAGGGCACAGAGGGC
rnacentral:misc_RNA from 1 species